rnacentral:tRNA from 1 species
GCUCGGGUGGCGGAACUGGUAGACGCGCCGGCUUCAGGUGCCGGUGGGAGCUAUCCCGUGGGGGUUCAAGUCCCUUCCCGAGCA